UUUUCUUUCAGUUAUGUUCCAACUGUAACUGAAGAUAACAACAUUACCUACCAAAUGCUAAUUACAAAGGACAAAGCACAUGAACUGCUGUAAACUUAACGGGGAAACUGGAGUUUCCUUUUGUGACAGCUAAAUGGUUAUCCUCACGAAGAUAAGGGUAACACCACAACCACAGGUUCCCGCCACUACCUAAGCCAGUCUCAACUGCCAUUAACGCCCCCUUGAGACAUAGCAAAGAAGGAACCAGAAAAUGCUUCUACGUGGCACAAUUUCUAAUCCUUUACCCUCUCUCCACCUCAAAACUCCCCUUCGGCUCCGCAGCUACGCCCCCACCGCCACCACCAUUACUAACAAAUGCUCCAUCUCCGACGAGGACCUGGAGUCCCGAGGCUUCCUCCUCCGUCGCACCAUCUCCAACCUUAAUCUCGACCACCUCAACUCUGUAUUCGUGGCAGUCGGGUUCCCCAAGCGUGACCCGGAGAAGAUCAAACUGGCGUUGGAGAACACGAACUCGCUCCUC
rnacentral:misc_RNA from 1 species